ACCAUAAUGAAUAUUUUUAACAAAGUCUACGGCAACAUUUCUAGCUGUCGGCAUGUAGAGGUCCGGGUAAACCGCUGAACCACUUUCAUGCUUGGGAUUGUGAACUGAAACUGUUCACAUGAACUUGGAAUUCCCAGUAAGUGUGAGUCAUUAACUCGCAUUGAUUACGUCCCU
rnacentral:ncRNA from 1 species